rnacentral:rRNA from 1 species
AUUGAACGCUGGCGGCAGGCCUAACACAUUCAAGUCGAACGAGUGGCGGACGGGUGAGUAAUGUCUGGGAAUCUGCCUGAUGUAGGGGGUUAACUACUGUAAACGGUAGCUAAUACCGCAUACCAUCAGAUGUGCCCAGAUGGGAUUAGCUUGUUGGUGGGGUAACGGCUCACCAAGGCGACGAUCCCUAGCUGGUAUGAGAGGAUGACCAGCAAAACUGGAACUGAGACACGGUGCAGACGCCGAGGGGAGGCAGCAGUGGGGAAGAUGGGACAAUGGGGGGAAGCCGGAUGCAGCCAUGCGGGGUGUAUGAAGAAGGACAGCGGGUUGUAAAGUACUGUAAGCGGGGAGGCGUUACCCGCAGAAGAAGCACCGGCUAACUCCGUGCCAGCAGCCGCGGUAAUUC